rnacentral:rRNA from 1 species
CGGGGGCAGCUACCGCGAGAUCCGAGCGGGCGGCGGUAGGACAGCGGCCGGGGCAGCGAGGGGGCGGGACAGCGGCCGGCGCAGUGAGGGGGCGGGGCAGCGGCAGCGAGGGGGCGGGGUAGGGACCGGGAGGGGGCGGGACAGCGGCCGGGGCAGCGAAGGGGUGGAACAGCAGCCGGCGCAGCGAGGGGGCGGGGCAGCGGCCGGGAGGGGGAGCAGGUGCCGGGCGGGGCACCUCAAGGUCCAGGCGCUGCCUAGGCGGAUGCGGCCGCAGAAGGUGUGGCGGAGGGAGCUGCGGCCUAUGCCAUGAACUAACUGGACCCGGACAACGUGGUGAGCUGUAAAUACACUCGAUCCUUAACUGGUUUUCCAAAGCCAACAUACAGGUACACGCUCUUCUUACCGGUCUGGGGAGGCAGCUACGGUCAGUAACGAGGCCGCCCGUGCGCAUUGAGGGCUGUUCGUAGCUGGCUAGGAAGAGGCAGACGGUGACCGCGCUGGCCAGGAUGUGGAUGUGGAUGUGGAUGUGGAAGUACUACUUCUAAACGAAUUCUAGUGCCUUCGAACCCAACUACCUCACGAACAUAAAUCAAAAACAAAACUGGAACACUUUGAACGAUGGAUACCUACUUUGACACAUUAUAACUACUUUGAUACAUAUACAUGCCUACUUUGAACGAUGAUAACCAUUGUACACAACCUAUACAUACACAAGUACUGAUAACCAUUAUACACAACUUAUAAGAUAUAACCAGUAUAUUUAUAUA